rnacentral:misc_RNA from 1 species
GAUGAAGAACGCAGCGAACGUGCGAAACGUAAUGUGAAUUGCAGAAUUCAGUGAAUCAUCGAAUCUUUGAACGCAUCUUGCGCUCCUUGGUAUUCCGAGGAGCAUGCCUGUUUGAGUGUCGUGAAUACUCUCAACUUCAACCCUUUUUUCGGAAAGGGAGGAAGGUUGGACUUGGGUGUUUGUUGAAGUGCGAGCUUCGACUCAUCCUAAAUGCAUUAGCGAUCUGCCUCGAUCACACACGAUGUGAUAAUUAAAACUAAAGCAUUGUUUAAUGAUCAAGUCGAGACUGCUUCUAACUGUCGCAAGACAAUAACGUGCAUACAUUUGUGCAUGUCAUUUGACCUCAAAUCAGGUAGGACUACCCGCUGAACUUAAGCAUAUCAAUAAGCGGAGGA